CCUUAGGGUUCAGUGCUUCUUUGAACCCUUAAAACCUGACUUCUUCAUAGAGAUUUUACCCACAAGAAGAAGUGAAAUCUUUUCUUUCUUUAUGUAGCUCUCAGCUGUCUUCAGCAUAUUCAACAGCUCAUGCAAAGAGGUAUUCAGUUUGUUUAUGUGAUAAUUCAUGACAAACUGAGUGAACGACUUGAGAAAAGAUUGCAGGAUCAAAUCC
rnacentral:lncRNA from 1 species